GGCUGGAUGGCAGAGUGGUCAUGCAGCGGCCCGCAAAGCAGUUUACGCAGGUUCGAUUCCGGCUUCAGCCUCCA
rnacentral:tRNA from 1 species